GACGAACGCUUUCGGCGUGCUUAACACAUGCAAGUCGAACGGAAAGGCCCUGCUUUUGUGGGGUGCUCGAGUGGCGAACGGGUGAGUAACACGUGAGUAACCUGCCCUUGACUUUGGGAUAACUUCAGGAAACUGGGGCUAAUACCGGAUAGGAGCUCCUGCUGCAUGGUGGGGGUUGGAAAGUUUCGGCGGUUGGGGAUGGACUCGCGGCUUAUCAGCUUGUUGGUGGGGUAGUGGCUUACCAAGGCUUUGACGGGUAGCCGGCCUGAGAGGGUGACCGGCCACAUUGGGACUGAGAUACGGCCCAGACUCCUACGGGAGGCAGCAGUGGGGAAUAUUGCACAAUGGGCGGGAGCCUGAUGCAGCAACGCCGCGUGCGGGAUGACGGCCUUCGGGUUGUAAACCGCUUUCGCCUGUGACGAAGCGUGAGUGACGGUAAUGGGUAAAGAAGCACCGGCUAACUACGUGCCAGCAGCCGCGGUGAUACGUAGGGUGCGAGCGUUGUCCGGAUUUAUUGGGCGUAAAGGGCUCGUAGGUGGUUGAUCGCGUCGGAAGUGUAAUCUUGGGGCUUAACCCUGAGCGUGCUUUCGAUACGGGUUGACUUGAGGAAGGUAGGGGAGAAUGGAAUUCCUGGUGGAGCGGUGGAAUGCGCAGAUAUCAGGAGGAACACCAGUGGCGAAGGCGGUUCUCUGGGCCUUUCCUGACGCUGAGGAGCGAAAGCGUGGGGAGCGAACAGGCUUAGAUACCCUGGUAGUCCACGCUGUAAACGGUGGGUACUAGGUGUGGGGUCCAUUCCACGGGUUCCGUGCCGUAGCUAACGCUUUAAGUACCCCGCCUGGGGAGUACGGCCGCAAGGCUAAAACUCAAAGGAAUUGACGGGGCCCCGCACAAGCGGCGGAGCAUGCGGAUUAAUUCGAUGCAACGCGUAGAACCUUACCUGGGUUUGACAUGGAUCGGGAGCGCUCAGAGAUGGGUGUGCCUCUUUUGGGGUCGGUUCACAGGUGGUGCAUGGCUGUCGUCAGCUCGUGUCGUGAGAUGUUGGGUUAAGUCCCGCAACGAGCGCAACCCUUGUUCACUGUUGCCAGCACGUUAUGGUGGGGACUCAGUGGAGACCGCCGGGGUCAACUCGGAGGAAGGUGGGGAUGACGUCAAGUCAUCAUGCCCCUUAUGUCCAGGGCUUCACGCAUGCUACAAUGGCUGGUACAGAGAGUGGCGAGCCUGUGAGGGUGAGCGAAUCUCGGAAAGCCGGUCUCAGUUCGGAUUGGGGUCUGCAACUCGACCUCAUGAAGUCGGAGUCGCUAGUAAUCGCAAAUCAGCAACGCUGCGGUGAAUACGUUCCCGGGGCC
rnacentral:rRNA from 1 species